AUUGCAUCAUACAAAGACAGCGUGCAGCACAGCAUGCAGCAUAACAUCGCACACUUCAAUCUCUUUCCUUGGGAUCUUGGCUGGGUUUUUUGGAUACCUGAGAAGAAGCCUGUGAACCUAGGAUUCUCUCCCUGACGAGGGAGAUGGCGAGCCGACCAGCUUGAUCAACUUGAUUCAUCUUCAUCCAUUGAGGAAGAACCCCCUGAUACCCCUUGUUUCUCCCAACCCCACUCUGGUGUGGUAGGAUUGUGAUUGAGAAAUUACACAAUUUUAUUUGAUACUUUAUUUUUUGUAAAAAGGGUGCACCCAACCAA